rnacentral:tRNA from 1 species
GCCUAACUGGCUCUGUCAGAAAAGCACGAGAUUGCUGAUCUCAGGGUUGUAAGUUUGAACCCUAUGUUGGGUA